rnacentral:rRNA from 1 species
AUUGAACGCUGGCGGCAGGCCUAACACAUGCAAGUCGAACGGUAACAGGAAGAAGCUUGCUUCUUUGCUGACGAGUGGCGGACGGGUGAGUAAUGUCUGGGAAACUGCCUGAUGGAGGGGGAUAACUACUGGAAACGGUAGCUAAUACCGCAUAAUGUCGCAAGACCAAAGAGGGGGACCUUCGGGCCUCUUGCCAUCGGAUGUGCCCAGAUGGGAUUAGCUAGUAGGUGGGGUAACGGCUCACCUAGGCGACGAUCCCUAGCUGGUCUGAGAGGAUGACCAGCCACACUGGAACUGAGACACGGUCCAGACUCCUAAGGGAGGCAGCAGUGGGGAAUAUUGCACAAUGGGCGCAAGCCUGAUGCAGCUAUGCCGCGUGUAUGAAGAAGGCCUUCGGGUUGUAAAGUACUUUCAGCGGGGAGGAAGGGAGUAAAGUUAAUACCUUUGCUCAUUGACGUUACCCGCAGAAGAAGCACCGGCUAACUCCGUG